rnacentral:rRNA from 1 species
GUGAUUAACGCGUAGGAAUCUGCCCUUUUGAGGGGGAUACCUGUUGGAAACGACUGUUAAUACCGCUUAUUAUCUGUGGAUUUAAGGUGGCAUUCGGGCUGUCGCAGAUGGAUGAGCCUGCGUUGGUUUAGCUAGUUGGUGGGGUAAGGGCCCUCCAAGGCUACUAUCCAUAGCUGAUUUGAGAGGUUGAUCAGCCACAUUGGGAAUGAGACACGGCCCAAACUCCUACGGG